CCUACGGGUGGCAGCAGUGGGGAAUAUUGGUCAAUGGGCGCAAUCCUGACCCAGCCACGCCGCGUGAGGGAAGAAGGCUUUCGGGUUGUAAACUUCUUUUCGCAGGGACGAAGCAAGUGACGAUACCUGCGGAAUGCGCCUCGGCUAACUACGUGCCAGCAGCCGCUGUAAUACGUAGGUCGCGAGCGUUAUCCGGAUUUACUGGGUGUAAAGGGCGUGUAGGCGGGAAAGCAAGUCAGAUGUGAAAACCAUGGGCUCAACCUGUGGCGUGCAUUUGAAACUGUUUUGCUUGAGUACUGGAGAGGCAGACGGAAUUCCUGGUGUAGCGGUGAAAUGCGUAGAUAUCAGGAGGAACACCAGUGGCGAAGGCGGUCUGCUGGACAGCGACUGACGCUGAGGCGCGAAAGCGUGGGGAGCGAACAGGAUUAGAUACCCUGGUAGUC
rnacentral:rRNA from 1 species